rnacentral:hammerhead_ribozyme from 1 species
AUCCAGCUGACGAGUCCCAAAUAGGACGAAAUGCCCUUUAUACUGGAU